UCGGACAUGGUGUAAUGCAACACGGCCUCUGUCCAUUCGGUUUUUCAUCUAGAUUAUGAGGCAGCCCGGGGUUCGACUCCCCGUGUCCGAG